rnacentral:rRNA from 1 species
UAAGUGUUAGAGGGUUUCCGCCCCUUAGUGCCGAAGUUAACGCAUUAAAGCCCUCCCCCCUGGGAGUACGGCCGCAAAGCUUAAACUCAAAAGAAUUUACGGGGGCCCGCACAAACGGUGGAGCAUGUUGUUUAAUUCGAAGCAACCCGAAGAACCUUACCAGGUCCUGACAUUCUCUGAAAACCCCAGAGAUAGGGCUUCUCCUUCGGGAGCAGAGUGACAGGUGGUGCAUUGUUGUCGUCCGCCCGUGUCGUGAGAUGUUGGGUUAAAUCCCGCCACGAGCGCAACCCUUGAUCUUAGUUGCCAUCAUUAAAUUGGGCACUCUAAGGUGACUGCCGGUGACAAACCGGAGGAAGGUGGGGAUGACGUCAAAUCAUCAUGCCCCUUAUUACCUGGGCCACACACGUGCUACAAUGGGCGGUACAAAGAGCUGCAAGACCGCGAGGUGGAGCUAAUCUCAUAAAACCGUUCUCAGUUCGGAUUGUAGGCUGCAACUCGCCUACAUGAAGCUGGAAUCGCUAGUAAUCGCGGAUCAGCAUGCCGCGGUGAAUACGUUCCCGGGCCUGUACACACCGCCCGUCACACCACGAGGAGUUUGCAACACCCGAAGUCGGUGGGGU